UACGUAGGGGGCUAGCGUUGCUCGGAAUCACUGGGCGUAAAGCGCACGUAGGCGGCUUGUUAAGUCAGGGGUGAAAUCCUGGAGCUCAACUCCAGAACUGCCUUUGAUACUGGCGAGCUUGAGUUCGGGAGAGGUGAGUGGAACUGCGAGUGUAGAGGUGAAAUUCGUAGAUAUUCGCAAGAACACCAGUGGCGAAGGCGGCUCACUGGCCCGAUACUGACGCUGAGGCGCGAAAGCGUGGGGAGCAAACAGG
rnacentral:rRNA from 1 species